rnacentral:rRNA from 1 species
GAUGAACGCUAGCGGCAGGCUUAACACAUGCAAGUCGAGGGGUAACAGGGUGCUUGCACCGCUGACGACCGGCGCACGGGUGCGUAACGCGUAUACAAUCUGCCUCUUACUGCGGGAUAGCCCAGAGAAAUUUGGAUUAAUAUCGCAUAGUAUAUUGACUUGGCAUCAAGUUAAUAUUAAAGGUUACGGUAAGAGAUGAGUAUGCGUUCUAUUAGCUAGAUGGUGUGGUAACGGCACACCAUGGCAACGAUAGAUAGGGGCCCUGAGAGGGGGAUCCCCCACACUGGUACUGAGACACGGACCAGACUCCUACGGGAGGCAGCAGUGAGGAAUAUUGGACAAUGGAGGCAACUCUGAUCCAGCCAUGCCGCGUGCAGGAAGACGGCCCUAUGGGUUGUAAACUGCUUUUAUACAGGAAGAAACACUCCCUCGUGAGGGAGCUUGACGGUACUGUAAGAAUAAGGAU